GUGCCCUCUUUUUGCUCUUCCGGUACCCGCACUCGUACUCUUACCCGCGCCGCUUCACCUCCGUGCUGAAGGAUGGCGCGGACGCUUCUCUUUCUGCUGAGCAUCCUGGUGAUCGCUGCCGCGGCCACCGCGCACGAGCUUCACCUGCCGGCCGACAUCUACGACCACGCCGCGGGUGAGUGGAGUGUGGAGUUGGUCUCGUCGUGCAGGUUGCCGUUAUUAGGGUCUGUCACGUUUCACAAUAACACCGCCGUCGUCGAAUGGAAAGAGGUAGGAGCGCCCGAAAUGAAAAUCAGUGGGCGGUCGGCCACGUCGUCGCUGAGCGUAGCAGCGCUCUCUGACUUUUUGACGAAGGACAGCCAUGAGCUCUCUUACGUUAUGUGCGAGCGCCAGGAGAACUACCUUGCUACCCCGCAGCGCCCGGUCCAGGUGGCUGGAAUGACCACCACUUACAUCAAGGCUUACUCAGGCGUGCUGAGCAGCUCAUCGGACGGGAGCACCUGUGACGGCAGCAGCGAGCGCACGAUUGCCAUUCAAGCUUUGGGGGCGCCGUUCACGCCGAGCAAAGGGAAGGCGUGGCAAAUGAAGGAGGCCCUGUAUGCAAUCGAUAUUGUUCUCGAUACAAGGAACGUAGAGGGAACAUGCGCGUCCAAGCGGGGCGCUGGCAUGUCGGAUGCCGCGCUGGGGAACGAUAAGCGCUCCCGGAAGCGCCGUGCGCACCGAACGCUGAGCUCGGGCAUGGCCGUCUCUACGGCGGAUGCGAUGACGGCUGAAAACGGCAUUGUGACGCUGCGCUUCAUUCGCCGCUCGGCAGCUCAUCAGCCGUGGUUCAUUCGCUACUACACCCCCAUUGUAUUCGCGACCAUCUUCAUCAUGUAUCGUAUGGCGCACUCCUUCUCUUACACUCGGGCCGCGAAAUCCUCACCACGCUCAGAGAGCAGUGGUGGCGAAACGGCUGGCGACGCUGGGCGCAUCGCUCUGAGCGGCUGUAACUCUAACUCUAUCGACACGUAAAACAGAAGAGAAAACGUCCACAUGCCAUCCGUUGGGCGAGGACACAAGAGAGCAAUGAGCGCCGCACUUCGGGCGCAAGCGAAUUAACUUGACGCACACGCACACACACACACACACACACACACACAGAAAACGCAUGCACACACAGGCGCACGGGGAGAGAAGGGCUCUACACCUCGACGGGUGUUUCGAGGGGACCUUUGGUCUUCAUAAGGUAGCAUUGAUGUUCAAGUCGCUCUGUCCUGGGCCCUGCGGAACUGGUCUUGGCCGAGCGCUCCAUCGUUGGUACGUGGUGCCCUGUCUUCUUGCCUCCACCGCACUUUGCCGUGCCUCCGUCAGUGCCAGUAUGACGUGCUACAGCGAAGCGCCACUUUCCCUCCCCCCUCUUCGCAUUUCUUCGCAG
rnacentral:misc_RNA from 1 species